UCUCAAUACCAGGAUGUCAUAGAAUCAUAGAAUAUACUGAGUUGGAAGGGACCCAUCAAGAUCAUUGAGUCCAACUCCUGACCCUGUGCAGGACACCCCAAAAAUCCACACCAUGUACCUGAGAGUGUUGUCAAAAUAUCUCUUGAAGUCAGGCAAGCUUAGUGCUGUGACCACUUCCCUGGGGAGCCUGUUCCAAUAGUCAUCUACUCUCCAGGCAUCCAGGUAGGACCUCGUUUUUCUCAUUUGCUGGAUCAACCAUUUGGGAGUGAAGGGCCUGCUGAUUUCAGGAGUGCUGAGAUUAAAAAGCAUAAACGAAGAACGUGAGGUCUGGUCAAGUGAUGAAGCUGA